rnacentral:piRNA from 2 species
UGCCCUCUUCUGGUGUGUCUGAAGA